GACGAACGCUGGCGGCGUGCUUAACACAUGCAAGUCGAACGGAAAGGCCCUGCUUUUGUGGGGUGCGCGAGUGGCGAACGGGUGAGUAACACGUGAGUAACCUGCCCUUGACUUUGGGAUAACUUCAGGAAACUGGGGCUAAUAUCGGAUAGGAGCUCUGGCUGCAUGGUGGGGGUUGGAAAGUUUCGGCGGUUGGGGAUGGACUCGCGGCUUAUCAGCUUGUUGGUGGGGUAGUGGCUUACCAAGGCUUUGACGGGUAGCCGGCCUGAGAGGGUGACCGGCCACAUUGGGACUGAGAUACGGCCCAGACUCCUACGGGAGGCAGCAGUGGGGAAUAUUGCACAAUGGGCGGAAGCCUGAUGCAGCAACGCCGCGUGCGGGAUGACGGCCUUCGGGUUGUAAACCGCUUUCGCCUGUGACGAAGCGUGAGUGACGGUAAUGGGUAAAGAAGCACCGGCUAACUACGUG
rnacentral:rRNA from 1 species